rnacentral:snRNA from 1 species
AAGACAGCAGGACGGUGGUCA